AGAAAAAUCUAUUCCCUGAGUAGCGGCGAGCGAAACGGGAAGAGCCCAAACCAAUAAGCUUGCUUAUUGGGGUUGUAGGACACUCUAUACGGAGUUACAAAGGAAUAUAUUAAACGAAUCAUCUGGAAAGUUGAAUCAAAGAAGGUAAUAAUCCUGUAGUUGAAAAUAUAUUCUCUCUUGAGUGGAUCCUGAGUACGACGGAGCACGUGAAAUUCCGUCGGAAUCUGGGAGGACCAUCUCCUAAGGCUAAAUACUCUCUAGUGACCGAUAGUGAACCAGUACCGUGAGGGAAAGGUGAAAAGUACCCCGGAAGGGGAGUGAAAGAGAACUUGAAACCGUGUGCUUACAAGUAGUCAGAGCCCGUUAAUGGGUGAUGGCGUGCCUUUUGUAGAAUGAACCGGCGAGUUACGAUCUGAUGCAAGGUUAAGCAGCGUAUGU
rnacentral:rRNA from 1 species